CGCACCUUGCGCCCCCUGGGGCAUGCCGGUUUGAGCGCCUUAUAACCCUGGACUGCAUUCGUUUGCAGACCGAUCUGAGUGUUGCUGUUAGCUCGCUCUGAAUGCAUUAGCGACGUGAAGCUUGUAAAGUGUAAUAAGAUUCCACUGGACCAAGCGUAGUGUUGCUUCCAACCGCCGCAAGGCAAUACCAUCUAUAGGCAUCAAAGUGGUAGGACUACCCGCUGAACUUAA
rnacentral:misc_RNA from 1 species